rnacentral:rRNA from 1 species
UACAGAGGUCUCAAGCGUUGUUCGGAUUCAUUGGGCGUAAAGGGUGCGUAGGCGGCGGGGUAAGUCAGGUGUGAAAUCUCGGGGCUCAACUCCGAAACUGCAUUUGAUACUGCCUUGCUAGAGUACUGGAGAGGAGAUUGGAAUUUACGGUGUAGCAGUGAAAUGCGUAGAUAUCGUAAGGAAGACCAGUGGCGAAGGCGAAUCUCUGGACAGUUACUGACGCUGAGGCACGAAGGCCAGGGGAGCAAACGGG